rnacentral:rRNA from 1 species
GACGAACGCUGGCGGCGUGCUUAACACAUGCAAGUCGAACGGAAAGGCCUGCUUUCCCUUGUGGAUUGCGGGUACUCGAGUGGCGAACGGGUGAGUAACACGUGAGUGAUCUGCCCCCAACUUGGGUAUAAGCCUGGGAAACUGGGUCUAAUUCCCGAUAGGACUGCAGGGUGGUGCCUGUGGUGGAAAACGAUUUUCUAGUGGUUGGGGAUGAGCUCGCGGCCUAUCAGCUUGUUGGUGGGGUAAUGGCCUACCAAGGCGGCGACGGGUAGCCGGCCUGAGAGGGUGGACGGCCACAUUGGGACUGAGAUACGGCCCAGACUCCUACGGGAGGCAGCAGGGGGGAAUAUGGCACAAUGGGCGGAAGCCUGAUGCAGCGACGCCGCGUGGGGGAUGACGGCCUUCGGGUUGUAAACUCCUUUCGACCGCGAGGAAGCCACCUGGUUGGAAGGGUGGUGACGGUAGUGGUAGAAGAAGCACCGGCUAACUACGUG